rnacentral:rRNA from 1 species
CCGGCUAACUCUGUGCCAGCAGCCGCGGUAAUACAGAGGGUGCAAGCGUUAAUCGGAAUUAUUGGGCGUAAAGCGUGCGUAGGUGGUUAAUUAAGUUAGCUGUGAAAUACCUGGGCUUAACCUGGGCAUGCCAGUUAAAACUGGUUAACUAGAGUACAGUAGGGGGUAGUGGAAUUUCCGGUGUAGCGGUGAAAUGCGUAGAUAUCGGAAGGAACACCAGUAGCGAAGGCGGCUACCUGGACUGAUACUGACACUGAGGUACGAAAGCGUGGGUAGCGAACAGGAUUAGAUACCCUGGUAGUCCACGCCGUAAACGAUGUCAACUAGCUGUUGGA